rnacentral:rRNA from 1 species
AGGCAAGAAGCAUCAUAGUCUGAGACCCCGAAACUAGACGAGCUACUCCGAAGCAGUCUAAAAGGACUAACCCGUCUCUGUGGCAAAAGAGUGGGAAGACUUCCGAGUAGAGGUGAAAAGCCUACCGAGCCUAGUUAUAGCUGGUUGCUUAAGAAAAGAAUAUGAGUUCAGCCUUAUAAGUUUCUCAAAAAUCAAAAUGAAAGAAUAAAGUAACACAUAAGAGUUAGUCGAAGGGGGUACAGCUCCUUCGAAAAAGAACACAACCUUACCCAGGUAAAUAAGGAUUAUACUAAAAAAGGACAUGACUUUCAACAGUGGGCCCGAAAGCAGCCACCUAUAAUAGAAAGCGUUAAAGCUCAAGAACAGCCACACCAAAAAUAAAAAUAACCACUCCUAAUUUCCUAAUAAUAUUAAGCUACCCUAUUUUAUAGGAGAAAUUAUGCUAAAAUGAGUAAUAAGAGAAACUAGACCCUCUCCGGGCACACGUGUAAAUUAGAGCGGACAAACCACUGACAACUAACGGACCCAAAAAAGAGGGUAAAACAACAAAACUCAAUAAACAAGAAAAACCUAUUAAAACAACCGUUAACCCAACACAGGAGUGCCACUUAAGGAAAGACUAAAAGGGGAAGAAGGAACUCGGCAAACACAAACCUCGCCUGUUUACCAAAAACACCGCCUCCUGCAAAUAGAAUGUAUUGGAGGUCCUGCCUGCCCAGUGACAAUAGGUUCAACGGCCGCGGUAUUUUGACCGUGCAAAGGUAGCGUAAUCACCUGUCUUUUAAAUAAAGACCUGUAUGAAUGGCAAGACGAGGGUUUUACUGUCUCCUCCCCCCAGUCAAUGAAAUUGAUCUACCCGUGCAGAAGCGGGUAUAAAAACAUAAGACGAGAAGACCCUAUGGAGCUUUAGGCACACAUCAAAUAUGUAAAAAACCAAAUCUUCCAAAUAGGCCUAAAAAAUGAGAAAAACAAGUAUUAAUGAUUAAUUGCCUUCGGUUGGGGCGACCACGGGGAAAAAUAAAACCCCCACAUGGAAUGGGUAAAAUUAUCCUAAGCCAAGAAAAACAAUUCUAAGCAACAAAAUUUUUGACCAAUAAACGACCCAGGGACAACAUCCCUGAGCAAUGAACCAAGUUACCCUAGGGAUAACAGCGCAAUCCUUUCCCAGAGCCCAUAUCAACGAAAGGGUUUACGACCUCGAUGUUGGAUCAGGGCAUCCUAACGGUGCAGCCGCUGUUAAGGGUUCGUUUGUUCAACGAUUAAUAGCCCUACGUGAUC